GAAUGAUGUGGUGGUGACAGUGCAGACUCAGGGAGGAGGCAGAGAAGGAGAGAAAGAGACACAAGAGUUACAGAAUGAUGUGGUGACUGCAGACUCAGGGAGGAGGCAGAGAAGGAGAGAAAGAGACACAAGAGUUUCAGAGCCAGGGCCCUCGAGCAAGGCAGCCAACGAGGAGAGCAGAGGUGAAGAGGCAGAAGUACCAGUACAAGAAGAGGUCGAGGACCAUGAAAGCAGCACAGAUGAGGAGGAAGCAGCUAUGGACAGUCAAUGUCAGGGACAAAGUGAGGCUCCGACACAGGAUGCCACAGAUACUGAGCCACCUGUAGUGGUGUCUGAGGUAGAAGAUCUGCUAUCACUUGACCCAGGGUUGUUCCCAGCUAGGAUGAGUGACAAGGACAGGGCAACUAUUGUAAAGAAAUUAGCAAUGCGAGAAACAGAUCAAGAAUUUCCACAUGAUUCAAAGGGAAAGAGAUUUCCAGAUUACUUGAAAUACACCAAAGCAGAUAAGGGUAGGGGAAAAGUGAAAAGGGACUGGUUGAUUCACAGUGAAAGUGCAAAUGCACUGUUCUGCAUACCAUGUGUUCUUUUCUCCAAGGAGCAAAAAAUACCCUCUCUUAGUGCUUUGAGUAGU